rnacentral:rRNA from 1 species
AUUGAACGCUGGCGGCAGGCUUAACACAUGCAAGUCGAGCGGGGGAAGGUAGCUUGCUACUGGACCUAGCGGCGGACGGGUGAGUAAUGCUUAGGAAUCUGCCUAUUAGUGGGGGACAACAUCUCGAAAGGGAUGCUAAUACCGCAUACGUCCUACGGGAGAAAGCAGGGGAUCUUCGGACCUUGCGCUAAUAGAUGAGCCUAAGUCGGAUUAGCUAGUUGGUGGGGUAAAGGCCUACCAAGGCGACGAUCUGUAGCGGGUCUGAGAGGAUGAUCCGCCACACUGGGACUGAGACACGGCCCAGACUCCUACGGGAGGCAGCAGUGGGGAAUAUUGGACAAUGGGGGGAACCCUGAUCCAGCCAUGCCGCGUGUGUGAAGAAGGCCUUAUGGUUGUAAAGCACUUUAAGCGAGGAGGAGGCUACUUUAGUUAAUACCUAGAGAUAGUGGACGUUACUCGCAGAAUAAGCACCGGCUAACUCUGUGCCAGCCGCCGCGGUAA